rnacentral:lncRNA from 1 species
UCAUCAACAGACAUGCUUGAGAGGAUGUUGAAGAUCUCCCUAAGAUUUUGUGGGCUCACGACACUCGUAGCUCACUUUCUCACUUCCCGAACCCUAGGCUAAAACUCUAGGGAACUCACUGAAAACCUUGCACCCACUUUUCUUUCUUUUCUUUCUUUUUCUCUUGGAAGGAUAUGGACUUCCUUCUCACGCACAAGACUUCUCACGCCCCAAAAUUUUUUUCUAAAAAUCUUCUUCUUCCAUGCCCCACUCUUCUCCUCCUUUUAUAACAACGUCAAAAGUCUUAUCCAAAAGAAAGGAUAAAGAUGAGUAAUUGCACAUUUGAAUUCAAAUCAAAUUUUGAAUUCAAAUGGACACCAACUCAUCCCUUAUCCACUAAAGGCGUGAGGCAUGGCUUAAAUUGUGCAUGGAGUGAUUUUAUGAGAAACAUUUUUCUCAUGUAAUAAAUGGGGUAUUAAAAAAGGGAUAAGGCGCAA